rnacentral:rRNA from 2 species
GGCUUAGAGUUUGAUCAUGGCUCAGGACGAACGCUGGCGGCGCGCCUAACACAUGCAAGUCGAACGGGGUUGAGAGGAGCUUGCUUUUCUUGACUUAGUGGCGAACGGGUGAGUAACGCGUGAGGAACCUGCCUCAAAGAGGGGGACAACAGUUGGAAACGACUGCUAAUACCGCAUAAGCCCACAGUCUCGCAUGAGACAGAGGGAAAAGGAGCAAUCCGCUUUGAGAUGGCCUCGCGUCCGAUUAGCUAGUUGGUGAGGUAACGGCCCACCAAGGCGACGAUCGGUAGCCGGACUGAGAGGUUGAACGGCCACAUUGGGACUGAGACACGGCCCAGACUCCUACGGGAGGCAGCAGUGGGGAAUAUUGCACAAUGGGGGAAACCCUGAUGCAGCGACGCCGCGUGGAGGAAGAAGGUCUUCGGAUUGUAAACUCCUGUUGUUGGGGAAAAAGAGGAUGGUACCCAACAAGGAAGUGACGGCUAACUACGUGCCAGCAGCCGCGGUAAAACGUAGGUCACAAGCGUUGUCCGGAAUUACUGGGUGUAAAGGGAGCGCAGGCGGGUAUGCAAGUUGGGAGUGAAAUACAUGGGCUCAACCCAUGAACUGCUCUCAAAACUGUGUAUCUUGAGUAGUGCAGAGGUAGGCG